GAUGAACGCUGGCGGCGUGCCUAAUACAUGCAAGUCGAGCGAAAACACAAGGAGCUUGCUCCUCUGACGUUAGCGGCGGACGGGCGAGUAAAACGUGGAUAACCAACCUAUAAGACUGGGAUAAAAUCGGAAAACCAGAGCUAAUACCAACAAAUAUAUUGAACCGCAUGGUUCAAUAGUGAAAGACGGUUUUGCUGACACAACUAGCAGGAUCAGCGCCACCUUAACUAGUAGGUAAGGUAACGGCUUACCAAGGCAACGAUGCUUAGCCGACAUGAGGGAAUGAUCUGACACACUGGAACUGAGACACGGUCCUGGCGCCGACGGCAGGCAGCAGUAUGGAAUUUUACUCAAUAGGAGAAAGCUUGACGGAGCAACGCCGCGUGAGAUAUGAAGGUCUCCGGAUCGUAAAACUCUGUUGUGAGUGAAGAACAGAUGUGUAAGAAGCUAGGCAAGUCGUGACGGUACCUAAUCAAAAAGCCACGGGUAACUACGUG
rnacentral:rRNA from 1 species